rnacentral:rRNA from 1 species
CAGCAGCCGCGGUAAUACCGGCGGCCCGAGUGGCGGCCACUAUUAUUGGGCUUAAAGCGUCCGUAGCCGGGUUGGUUAGUCUCCCGGGAAAUCUGGCCGCUUAACGGUCAGAAUUCCGGGAGAUACUGCCAGCCUAGGGACCGGGAGAGGGCGAGGGUAUUCCCGGAGUAGGGGUGAAAUCCUAUAAUCCCGGGAGGACCACCUGGGGCGAAGGCGCCCCGCUGGAACGGGUCCGACGGUGAGGGACGAAGGCCAGGGGAGCAAACCGGAUUAGAUGCCCGGGUAGUCCUGGCUGUAAAGGAUGCGGGCUAGGUGUCGGGUGAGCUUCGAGCUCGCCCGGUGCCGUAGGGAAGCCGUUAAGCCCGCCGCCUGGGGAGUACGGCCGCAAGGCUGAAACUUAAAGGAAUUGGCGGG